rnacentral:rRNA from 1 species
GACGAACGCUGGCGGCGUGCCUAAUACAUGCAAGUAGAACGCUGAAGGAGGAGCUUGCUUCUCUGGAUGAGUUGCGAACGGGUGAGUAACGCGUAGGUAACCUGCCUGGUAGCGGGGGAUAACUAUUGGAAACGAUAGCUAAUACCGCAUAAUAGUAGAUGUUGCAUGACAUUUGCUUAAAAGGUGCAAUUGCAUCACUACCAGAUGGACCUGCGUUGUAUUAGCUAGUUGGUGGGGUAACGGCUCACCAAGGCGACGAUACAUAGCCGACCUGAGAGGGUGAUCGGCCACACUGGGACUGAGACACGGCCCAGACUCCUACGGGAGGCAGCAGUAGGGAAUCUUCGGCAAUGGACGGAAGUCUGACCGAGCAACGCCGCGUGAGUGAAGAAGGUUUUCGGAUCGUAAAGCUCUGUUGUAAGAGAAGAACGAGUGUGAGAGUGGAAAGUUCACACUGUGACGGUAUCUUACCAGAAAGGGUCGGCUAACUACGUG